AUAUUUACCUGGCAGGGGAGAUACCAUGAUCACGAAGGUGGUUUUCCCAGGGCGAGGCUUAUCCAUUGCACUCCGGAUGUGCUGACCCCUGCGAUUUCCCCAAAUGUGGGAAAUUCGACUGCAUAAUUUGUGGUAGUGGGGGACUGCAUUCGCGCUUUCCCCUG
rnacentral:snRNA from 1 species